rnacentral:sRNA from 1 species
AACUUACAGGUUACAGCCUGAUUUAUCAGGCUGAUGGCUGGUGGCUUUUUAGUCACCAGCCU